AACUUUAAUUAAUUCUUGCAACAAGCCCCCUGAGAUGAGGAAAAUGGAGGCUCUGAAAGUGAAGUGGCAUAUUUGGGGUCACACAGGAGAACUAGGAUUCCAACCAUGUUCUGGCUUGAAGUUGAUGCUCUUGUCACUCAGCCAGCUGACACCUGGUACCCGGUUGUGUUGCAGGAAGGCUUAUUAAUCCUACAAUGGCAUUUCCAGAGGACGUUGCCUCACCACCACCAGCAAAGCUCCUUCCCUUGACCUGGAGACACUGAAGCGGCUCCGGAUGCUUUGCUCUUUCCUCCGACAUGACUGUUGAAGUCAGACAAGCCUGGAUUUGAACUCUGGUUCUGUACCCAUUGUGGUUAAUCUUGGGCAAGUUCCAACCUCUCCCUGCCUCAGUUUCCUCAUUAGUAAAAGGAGCUGUGGCAAGGAUCAAAUGAGUUAACGAACACGAAAUCCCACUGCACAGAGCCCCACACGUGGCAAGGGCUCCAUCAGGGUCCCCAUCUGCUCUGCCAUUCCUGUCCCGCCAGCUGCCUGCAUUCUGUCCUAGCAGAGCCGACUGAGGAGCACCAGUGCUAUCCAAUUCUUUCCUCUGUUGCUUUUGCCAAAAUCCUGGCUGGGACUGCGGCUCUCCUUCACCCAGGUCAUGACAACACCCAAGAGCAGUCACUACAGCUGCUCCUGCUAUGUGACAGCUCGGAGAGACAGAGGAUUAGCUGGGGUUACCCCACUGUGGAUAUGUCAUGCUUGUCUCUUUCAGAUCCUGCUAAAGUGGAGUGUUGAACUUUAAGGUGCUUCCUGCCUCCAAGCCUGCAAGCCUGGAUCUCCCAGGAUUCUCUUCUGCCCCUGACAGCGUUAGCAUUGCAAGCGCAGCCUUGGGGAAUGAAGUGUCCCUUCCCAGUGCCGCUGAGAGAGGGGCAAGAACUUGGGUGCAGUCCCAUGGCCUGAAUGAACGGUGUUUCUCAGGCAUGGCAAAUCUGAAAGGAAUCAACACAUUUUUCUGUUGGAUUCUCUCUUUAAAAAUGGGAAUGGCGGCACAAGCACAUUUCAGUUCGAACAGGUUCUUGGACGCCAGCUCACCUGCAGGCUCCUGUGUUCUUUCAUGCUCCUCCAUCCGCUCUUCCUUUCAGGCCCUAAGAAUGCGCCCCUAGCACUGGGGCCUGGAGCACAGGCCCCCACAUACUGCCUGCAGCUCAGCCCUGAAAUGACAUUAGCUGGGGGUGUUGGAGCCAGCCCGGCCACCAGGCCUCUUAGACUGGUUGUCUGGGACACUGCCUGCAGGACAAGCCCUCAGCCCUUUCCUUCCCCUCACUGGACUGUGGGCACGACAGGGAAAGCAUGUCCCAUGUGCUAACUUUGCCCAGAGGUGGCCUGUCCAGCCCCCUCUCCAGGUGACCUUGCCCCAUAGGGGGAAAAGGUACAUGCCGCUACCGCUGCAGACUUCUGGGUACUUCUACCAGGCAGAUGGCCCUGCCACCAGGAGCCAGGGGCUGGCCACCAACCUGGUGCUCCAGAGUGCACAAGGCCUCCCCUGGUCUUGGGCCCCCUCACCCCAUCAGUCUGCUGUCCUCUCAGCCUCCUGAUCUGGGUUGGUCUGAGCCAGUCCCUCAGACCCUGACCAGGUGGAAUUUCUGAGCCUGGCCUUGGCCAAUCCCACCCAAAUCUGGCCCCGAGGGCCUGUCCUCCCCUUUCUUGGGCUGUCUGCCUUCCUAGACAGGCCUUUCUUAUUUCAACAGCAGCGGAAUUGCAUAAAUAUUUGCCAAGUCCAUGUGUCUAGACAACCUUGAGGAUGUCCCACAAUGGAGCAUGGAAUCCCUCCACAAAUGGGAAUUAGACUUCUUCACUGCCAGGGGUCCUCCUAGAAGUUUUAAGACCAUCACAGAGGGCAACUGUAAAAGAAUGAGGAUGGUGUGUUUGUGUGUGUGUGCACACACCUGUGUGUAUGAGGCCCGUAGAAUCCAAUGUGAAGGACUGAAUACAAGCCACAUUACAAAAAUGGCCCCAAAUACAGCAAAGCACAUCCGACAGGGCCGGGCCUCCCCUCUCCAGUGAUGGGGGUGAACAGAGGGGUGGGCUCAUUCUUUAAGGCAAAGCUGUUUCUUCUCAUUUUAGAAAAUAACAUUUAUGGCCUGACACUGUGGCUCACACCUGAAAUUCCAGCACUUUGGGAGGUUGAGGUGGGAGGACAGCUUGAGCCCAGGAGUUCAAGACCAGCCUGAGCAACAUAGUGAGACUCUGUCUUUACAAAAAACUUUAAAAAAUUAGUUGGGUGUGGUGUUGCAUGCCUGUAGUCCCAGCUACUCCAGGAAGCUGAAGUGGGAGGAUUGCUUGAGCCCAGGAGUUAGAGGCUGCUGUAAGCUACGAUCGCACCACUGUAGUCCCGCCUGGGUGACAGGGCAAGACCCUGUCUUAAACAAAAAAUUAAUAGUACUUUUAAAAAGUGAGUGCUCCUUAUUACAACCACCAGGAUGCUUAAUGGUUAUGAGGUUUCCUUUCAGGGUGAUGAAAACAUUCUGGAAGUCAACAGUGGUGCUGGUUGCAGGACAUUGUGAAUGUACUGAAUGCCACUAAAUGGUACACUUUAUUUAUUUAUUUAUUUAUGUUCAGAUGGAGUUUUGCUCUUGUUGCCCAGGCUGGAGUGCAAUGGCUCG
rnacentral:lncRNA from 10 species